CCUACGGGAGGCAGCAGUGGGGAAUAUUGGACAAUGGGGGAACCCUGAUCCAGCCAUGCCGCGUGUGUGAAGAAGGCCCUCGGGUUGUAAAGCACUUUCAGUGAGGAAGAACGCCUGGUGGUUAAUACCCAUCAGGAAAGACAUCACUCACAGAAGAAGCACAGGCUAACUCCGUGCCAGCAGCCGCGGUAAUACGGAGGGUGCGAGCGUUAAUCGGAAUUACUGGGCGUAAAGCGCGCGUAGGUGGCUUGAUAAGCCGGUUGUGAAAGCCCCGGGCUCAACCUGGGAACGGCAUCCGGAACUGUCAAGCUAGAGUGCAGGAGAGGAAGGUAGAAUUCCCGGUGUAGCGGUGAAAUGCGUAGAGAUCGGGAGGAAUACCAGUGGCGAAGGCGGCCUUCUGGACUGACACUGACACUGAGGUGCGAAAGCGUGGGUAGCAAACAGGAUUAGAUACCCCAGUAGUC
rnacentral:rRNA from 1 species